rnacentral:lncRNA from 1 species
AGGGAUGGCAAAUUGGUCCAUCCAAAUUGGAUAUCCAUAUAUCCAAUCUAAUUGGAUUGGAUAAUAUCCAUCCAAAAUCUUCUUGGAUAUGGAUAUGGAUAUUUUAAAAAAUAUCCAAUUGGAUAUUGGAUGGGUAUGGAUAUUUAAUGGAUAUCCAAAAUCCAAUUAAUUUAUCCAUUUAAAGUUAAAAAAAUUUAUAUUGUUAAACUAAAAUAAAAAAAAACAACAAAAUCUAAUAUUAUCUUAUAUUAACUAGUAAAAAUUUUAAAUUCCUCUUAUAUUAAAAAUUAAAGUUUUCAAAAUUACCCUUUAAUUUUUUAACUUAUUUAAUAUUAUUAAUAAUUAUUAUUUUAUUUUAAUGAUUUAAUAUUAUAAAUAGACUUCCGCCGGAAAAUCGCCGGACCACCACCGGACUUCGCCGGACCACCGUCGGACAUCGCCGGAAUAUCGCCGGAAUCACCGCCGGACCUC